rnacentral:rRNA from 1 species
UACGUAGGGGGCAAGCGUUGUUCGGAAUUACUGGGCGUAAAGGGCGCGUAGGCGGUUCGUUAAGUCCUGUGUGAAAUCCCCCGGCUCAACUGGGGAACUGCACAGGAAACUAGCGGGCUUGAGUUCGGGAGAGGGAAGCGGAAUUCCGGGUGUAGCGGUGAAAUGCGUAGAUAUCCGGAGGAACACCGGUGGCGAAGGCGGCAUCCUGGACCGGCAUUGACGCUGAGGCGCGAAAGCUAGGGGAGCAAACGGG